rnacentral:rRNA from 1 species
AGAGUUUGAUCCUGGCUCAGAAUCAACGCUGGCGGCGCGCUUAACACAUGCAAGUCGCACGAGAAAGUGGAGCAAUCCAUGAGUAAAGUGGCGUACGGGUGAGUAACACGUGGAUCAUCUACCUUCUAGUGGGGAAUACCCCCGGGAAACUGGGGACAAUACCGCAUAAGCUCGUAAGAGGAAAGCAGCAAUGCGCUGGAAGAGGAGUCCGCGGCUGAUUAGCUAGUUGGCGGGGUAACGGCCCACCAAGGCGAAGAUCGGUAGCCGGCCUGAGAGGGCACACGGCCACACUGGCACUGAAACACGGGCCAGACUCCUACGGGAGGCAGCAGUGGGGAAUCUUGCACAAUGGAGGAAACUCUGAUGCAGCGACGCCGCGUGAGCGAUGAAGCCCUUCGGGGUAUAAAGCUCUUUCGACGGGAACGAUAAUGACGGUACCCGAAGAAGAAGCUGCGGCUAACUACGUGCCAGCAGCCGCGGUAAUACGUAGGCAGCAAGCGUUGUUCGGAAUUACUGGGCGUAAAGAGUGUGUAGGCGGUGUUCUAAGUCUGUCGUGAAAUCUCCCGGCUUAACUGGGAGGGUGCGGCGGAAACUGGAAUGCUAGAGGAUGGGAGAGGUAAGCGGAAUUCCUGGUGUAGCGGUGAAAUGCGUAGAUAUCAGGAGGAACACCUGUGGUGUAGACAGCUUACUGGACCAUUUCUGACGCUGAGACACGAAAGCGUGGGUAGCAAACAGGAUUAGAUACCCUGGUAGUCCACGCCCUAAACGAUGCAUACUUGGUGUGAGCGAUUCAUUUCGUUCGUGCCGGAGCUAACGCGUUAAGUAUGCCGCCUGGGGAGUACGGUCGCAAGGCUGAAACUCAAGGAAUUGACGGGGGCCCGCACAAGCGGUGGAGCAUGUGGUUCAAUUCGACGCAACGCGAAGAACCUUACCUGGGCUCGACGGCUAUGGACAAUCCUUGGAAACAGGACUUCUCGCAAGAGACUGUAG